rnacentral:rRNA from 1 species
UAGGGAAUCUUCCACAAUGGACGCAAGUCUGAUGGAGCAACGCCGCGUGAGUGAAGAAGGUCUUCGGAUCGUAAAGCUCUGUUGUUGGUGAAGAAGGAUAGAGGCAGUAACUGGUCUUUAUUUGACGGUAAUCAACCGGAAAGUCACGGCUAACUACGUGCCAGCAGCCGCGGUAAUACGUAGGUGGCAAGCGUUGUCCGGAUUUAUUGGGCGUAAAGCGAGCGCAGGCGGAAUGAUAAGUCUGAUGUGAAAGCCCACGGCUCAACCGUGGAACUGCAUCGGAAACUGUCAUUCUUGAGUGCAGAAGAGGAGAGUGGAACUCCAUGUGUAGCGGUGGAAUGCGUAGAUAUAUGGAAGAACACCAGUGGCGAAGGCGGCUCUCUGGUCUGCAACUGACGCUGAGGCUCGAAAGCAUGGGUAGCGAACAGGAUUAGAUACCCUGGUAGUCCAUGCCGUAAACGAUGAGCGCUAGGUGUUGGGGACUUUCCGGUCCUCAGUGCCGCAGCAAACGCAUUAAGCGCUCCGCCUGGGGAGUACGACCGCAAGGUUGAAAC